CGAAUAUGUAAUUAUAAUAAUCUGUUCUACCGUAGGUAUUGCUAACUAUUCAAUGUUUAUAGCGGUUAUACAACAUGCUUGUGCACUUUUCCUUAUCAUGGAGUGGAAAGUAAACGAAAGAUUUAAAAAACCUCCACAGAAUUUCUAUUAUGCCAAUACUAACGAUGAAUUAGCCGAGGAAAGAGAAUGGAUAAUCGGUAUCAUAGAAUUCUAUAAUAAGGCGAUUGAAUUUGUCCAAUUAUUGAAAUCGUUUUACGAAGCAAUUCACCUUUUGGAAGAACUUUUGGCGUUUAUAGUUAUUCUGGUAGAUUAUUUUUAC